UUGGAUUCUUGUGGGCUCAUUUCUACCUCUCUUUGCAGAAUUGUAAUUCACUUGUUGCAGAUUCUAGUAGAUUCUUGUGCAGGGGACUGAAGUUUUGUAUUAGUAGGCAUUUCCUUGGGAAUUUGGACAAAUGACCACCAGUAAUGUCUGUAGACAUUGCUGUAUUAGUUCAGUGUGCAUCAAAUAGCUCUCCAGACUAGAUUCAUUGGUCCUUAAUUGUCUCUGGAAUAUUAGCAUGAUGUGUUGGAGGAGACACAAUUGUUGAACUAGUAAGUUGGAUUGAUUACAAUAGUGGUUGGUCUUGAGGCUUUUGUCAUCCUUGCACAAAGCUUGAUAGGUUUUACAUUAAGUAGCAUAUACCUCUAUACUAGCACUAGAUCGAUAGAUGAGGUUGUCAUUGUUAGUCCCAGAUGGAAGAAAAAAAAAGAUUCAUGAAUAGAUGAAGCAAUUUAAUAGAUGAUAGUCUUGCCUAGAGUGGGUGAGACAAUUAUUGCCUUGUUAGGAUGCCUGUUGUUUGCUUACAUAAUUGCCAUUUAAAAUUUUGGAUUCUCCCCCUUUAAAGGUUCAGUUCACUACAAGUUCUAGAAACUCAUUAACAUUACUCGGUGCUAGCAUUACUCAAUGGAAAGAGCACAAAUCUGACGAAUUUACGAUUGUUCCUUUUCUUCUAAACAAUUCAUAAACUGUAGUAUUUCCAUAUCAUUCCGUUGAUAUUUAUUGACAUUCUAUGUAUAUUUUCUUGUACUGAUGACUGUGAUGAUUAUUAGUUCAUGUGGUGUUACUACUGUAAUUGGAGGGCAUGCAAUGCAUUGGUGGUUUAUCAACUGCAGAAAUAUUGCACUAUACUAGGAAGAAAACUUGCACAUUUAGCUGCAAAUUCACCAUCAAGGUUUAGUAUUACACUAGGAUGAACACACUGAAGGCACAUUGGGCUUUUGAAAAACUUGGUCAAAUUGAAAUGGAUAGAGAAGGAUAAUAAUUUCAAAUGAUAUUACAUUUUUUGAAGGUAGAAAUAAUUUUUUAAAAAUCAAACCAAAACCAAAACCAAAAGAAACAGGUAUUCAAUUGCUACACAUUAUCUACUCUCACUCUCUCUCCUCGCGGACAUAGAGCUGAGCUUGAAGAAGAUGUCGAGAAGAAGAAGAAUUUAUGUUUCUUCCAUUAUUGGACCAAGAAUAGCUUACAAUAAUUGGCUAUUAAAAGGUACUUCGAAAUCGAAACCUCCAUCUCGAGUUGUUAAUCGUCCCUCUUGUUUCUUAUUUGUUCUGUUUCGUUUUCUCUCUAACACCACCAAAAACCCUACUCCUACUCCUCAAGGAGUUUAACCUAAACCUAAACCUAAAGCUUUACCCAAACAGCCAUGCAAUUUGGGUCCCAAUCAUCUUCAUUCUGCUUUAAUUUCGUUCAAUCGCAUGUUCCGAAUGCUACCUUUGCCCCCAAUUUCUCAAUUCAACAAAGCUUUAGGGUCUAUUUUGAACAUGGGUCAUUACACCACUGCUCUUUCUCUUAUUCAGAACAAGUUACAACAGUUCCAAGGCAUUCAAGUCAAUUUCUACACCUUCAACAUUGCUAUUAACUGUUACUACCACCUAAAUUGAGCCGAUUUUGGGUUGUCUCUUUUGGGUAGCCUCUUCAGAUGCGUUUAUACACCUGAUGUAACUACCUUCACAACUAAGGGGUACAACUAAGGGGUUCUAGUAGUGCUAUGUGCUACUAUGAUAAGAUUCGGUUAUAUAUAGCUUGCAUUUAUUAAGCUAACUACAGAUUCAGUAGUUCUCAUAUGACCCUUGGGGUGAUUUUAGAAGUUUUCUGAUAUGUAUCCUUUUGAUAUUGGGGUUGUUGAGUCUAGAAGAUAUUGAUAUGGAACUGUGACAUAGCUAGAGUGGAAGUGAAUUAUCAAGGCACAAGUACUAACAAAGUGGCUAGUGGCUGCUCAACUAUAGGAGGCCAACCUGUGGGCUAGUUGUGGCGCUAUGUUGGAUUAUAAACGAUAUGCACCUUAUGAUCUCUGCAAUCCUGGUUCUUUUUGGCAUUCCCCUUUUGCAUUGCUUUCAAUUUGAACUAUGUUACUAGUUGUAGGUGUAGAACACCAGAUCUCAUUUCCAGUAUGUUCUAGAGAUGGAAAAUAAAUAAAUAAAUAACCCUUCAGAUAUCGUUUGAAUGUCUAGUCAAAGAAAAAUGUAGGCUCCUGUAUGUUUAUUUAUUAUUGCAAAUAUCAGUCUUCUUUUUCAUUCUUCUCUAGGAGAUUGGCAUGUUUUCAAUGCGAAUGCUCACUUGGUGCUGCUUGAAAUAUUGAUGUAGCUACCGCUUGGAAAUAUAUAUAUAUAUCUAUUUUUUGCUGGUAAGGACAGGUGAAGUUGAUGUUUUUGGGUUGAUGUUGAUAAAAGCUUUAUGGCAACAUCUUUCAACUGCUCCGGUUUGUAAAGAAAUACAAGAAUAAGGUUGGAUACAAACUUAAUUGACCAUCAAUCAAAGGGUGUGUGAAAGUAUCCUAUCCUUUUGAACACACAUCAUAUAAAGCGAGCUUUGAAGAGCUUGUGAAAUAUACUUGGCGACAAACUCAGCAUGAAGUUGAAUUAUCACAGUGAAUUAUCAAGACUCAAUUAUUAUUGAAGUGGCUAUGCAACUGCAAGAGCCCAACCUGUUGACAAUUUCUCAAAUUGUGGGUUGUAAUAGCAAAACACAAGGCUCUAGAGGCUAUUUGUCGCAAAGUGCAGGUCUGACAAUCUUUCUGGAUAGAUUUGUCAACUGACUGAUGCCCUUGGGAUGGAAUGCCUUUGGCUGGUUAACUUGAUGACUAACCACUGCUCCAGCUAAGUCCAUCCUAUGAGACCAAGAGUAGGGGGCAUUGAGGUCUGUUACUUGGUAGCUGGUGCAAUUUGCCCUUUUGCUAUCUCUAGUGGGUACAUGUUUCGCACCCUUUUUCAGCACAUCAUCUAUUUUUUUUUUUUUUUUUUCUAUUUUGUUUUUUAUUUUUAGUUUUUGAGAAUUUCCACUGAAGUUUUAUAAAUAGCUAGAUGUUGCUUAAUAAUUCAUAACUUCCGUUAUGAUGUUGCUGACUACUUAUUAUCAAUUAAAAAACACAUUUCCCUCUUGUUUGUGAUGAAAGAUGUAAAGGAGCUAUACAACCAUGAUUGUGAAUAUUCAUUAAAUUUGAGGCAAAUGCGAUCUAUGAUGCUGAUUUCUGUACCUUCAGUUUCACAGUCCUUUAUUGAUGGAUGUUGAGCUGAUACCCAGCUGUUCAACUGAGUACUUGAGAAUAAUUCUACUUGUAAAUAUUUCAAUGUUGUGUGCUAGUGAUAACAGUUGUCUAGAUCUCUUUAUUACAAGGGACACAUGGUUCUUAACAUUGACUUUUGUGGUUCAUGUAUGCGGAAAUUAUAGAAAGAUACUGAUCUCUUGUCACGCAGGAACAGAAAAGGAGAGCAAGCUUUCAGAAUGUAGGUAUUGAUGUCUUGGACCAGCUGCACCAGUGGUAUAUCCAAAUAGUGUAACCCAUCAACUAAGUUGUUGCAUGGUUGAUUUCAAUGAAGUGGGAAACCAUCUGUCUGCUAAGAAGCUGAUUGGUGCCGAGCACAGAGAGGAAAUUUCAAGAAAAGCAAAGGUGGUUGUCUUUAUUUGAAGGAUUCUCCCAUCUCAACAAAUCAUUGGUUUUUUUAAGAGAUUGUCAAUUCUGUUUUAUAUUGUUUAGCCCUUAACCUCUGAUACACAUGGUGAGAAAGCAAAAUUUUGAGGCAUAUCUACCAAGAAAGCUAGAAGCAUUUUCAGGAACAAAGUUGGGCAAGAAUUAAUGCUUAAUGCAGAUGAAGUUUAGGAGUUGCUUUAAUUGGAAAGAUCAGUUUAACUUGCAGUUGAGAAACAGUACUAAACAGAGUUCCACACCGUGGAAGCUUGGCUUGUCUUGCUGCCCACCCUCAACAUGCAACCUCCACCUUGCCCUGUGUGAUGCUUCCUCUACACCACAAACAGAAUAUCAUAAAGCUGCACAUAAUUUUUCAAGUAAAUUUAAAUCCGACAUGGCUCGUUGACGUGGCUAUUUAAGUUUCUAGUGCUUGUUAAUAUAGUGGCUAGUUGUUGUCUACACUAUAAUGUGAUUGAACCUAUAUUUGAAACUUUAUGUUCGAGUCUAUACUUGAAACUGACUGUUAGGCCAGUCUUUUUCCAAUUAA